UAGUUACUCUGGACUGCCAUGAUAGAAACAUUGAAACAGAUAUUGACUGGCUUUAGGUAUGUGAGACGUUUUUAUUGGUGUUGCAAACGAUGUAACGAUCACUAAAUUCUGUGCCUAUGUGAGAUUUGUUGGUUCAUCGAAUAACAUCAAAGUUACAGUUGUUACUCUACGUUUCCCUCAUUAAUUACUCUUCCACUCAAACUUCUCUGGGAUUGGUGGAAAAAGAAGAGAAAACUUCGACUGAAAUACGAUAAGGAAGGUAAACGGUCAAGCAAAGUGUGCAAGGUCGUUGAUGGAGUAUUCUAUGUGAAAUCCUCUCACCGGUCUGAGCCCCACCAACUGAACA